rnacentral:lncRNA from 1 species
AAUUGUUGUAGUUCGCUUAUUGAGUCGACUCAGUAUUAUUUGGGUCGACUCAGGACCCUAGUUAGUUAGCUCAAUUUCUAUUGAGCUGACUCAAUGUAACAUUUGACAAUCUUUAUCAAGAAGAAAAAUUAUAAUAUCAGAUGAGCUUGUUACCAUCUACGUCCUAUCCUUAGACGGUAGUCCCAAUCAAGCUUAGAAUCAGUCGUGGCCG